rnacentral:rRNA from 1 species
CACCUACGGGUGGCAGCAGUGGGGAAUAUUGGACAAUGGGCGCAAGCCUGAUCCAGCAAUGCCGCGUGGAUGAAGAAGGUUUUCGGAUUGUAAAGUCCUUUCGGCGGGGACGAUGAUGACGGUACCCGCAGAAGAAGCCCCGGCUAACUUCGUGCCAGCAGCCGCGGUAAUACGAAGGGGGCUAGCGUUGCUCGGAAUGACUGGGCGUAAAGGGCGUGUAGGCGGUUUGUACAGUCAGGCGUGAAAUUCCUGGGCUUAACCUGGGGGCUGCGUUUGAUACGUGCAGACUUGAGUGUGAAAGAGGGUCGUGGAAUUCCCAGUGUAGAGGUGAAAUUCGUAGAUAUUGGGAAGAACACCGGUGGCGAAGGCGGCGACCUGGUUCAUGACUGACGCUGAGGCGCGAAAGCGUGGGGAGCAAACAGGAUUAGAUACCCUGGUAGUCCACGCUGUAAACGAUGUGUGCUGGAUGUUGGGUGACCUAGUCACUCAGUGUCGUAGCUAACGCGGUAAGCAC